rnacentral:rRNA from 1 species
UACGUAGGGGGCAAGCGUUGUCCGGAUUUAUUGGGCGUAAAGAGCGUGUAGGCGGCCAAACAGGUCCACUGUGAAAACUCGAGGCUCAACCUCGAGAGGUCGGUGGAAACCGUAUGGCUAGAGUCCGGAAGAGGAGAGUGGAAUUCCCGGUGUAGCGGUGAAAUGCGCAGAUAUCGGGAAGAACACCAGUGGCGAAGGCGGUUACCUGGAGCUUUGCUGACGCUGAUGGCGC